rnacentral:lncRNA from 1 species
UUUUUUUGUUCUGCAUAAUGUAGAAACCCUGACCACAGGAUCCAAGUGCUCUGCUUCAGCUGAAGACGACGUAUCCAGAAUGGGGCUCACGUCUACAAGUAGGCGUGCAGCCAAGAGCAAGGCUCUGCCUCCCCCGCUCCCAGCACGCUAAAGGAACGCUUUUUUUAGAGAGCCACCUGCUAAGGAUGCUUCCCUGUUCUUUGAGAGUGCAGCAAGCUGCAGGCACAGGGGUUCAGUGCAGGGGUUUCAGAAAGGACACCAGCUUUACUGAGCACUGGGCGGACAAAGCUGCUAUUCUGCACCACUGAUCCCCACCACAUUCCAUAUGAGACUCUAAUCUGAUCAGCCCCAUUACCGAGUCUCAAACUGCACUGCAAAUCAGGAUUACAAACCAGAAAGUCCAGAUGGAAAGUAGCUUCCUACCCUGAGGAAUAAAACAUGCUGUUGUGGGCCUGUACUGUGAGGAACAUAUAGCAUUAGUCCUAGAUACGCUGUUGGGAUUAACGUCCUUUAAAAAGAAACUGCUCCUUGAAAUUCAUUCUCCUUGCCGCUUGACAGAUCUUUCUGGGGCCCUCAGUGAGUUUUCUUUUGGAAAUCUAGUACUGUCUGACAGACGGUGAAAUCAUUUUAAUUUGUUUGAUGGACAGCGUAAGGACAACUUUCAAGAAAAAUAAUUUGGUAAAGUGAAAUCAGAAUUAAGUACAGACAACGCAAUGUCCUACAGCAGGCAGCUAUACCGCAGUCACUCCUCACUACAUCUAUCCUGGCUCACCCUUACUAUGCUCUCUGGUCAUAGAUGCAGCUCUUUCUACUAUCCACAAACCCAGUCUGCGUGAAAUAUAAAUAUUUAGUUUUACAGGCAAGAAUCUACCCAGCAUCAACAGCAAGAGCCUGCAAUCCAGAAAGCCUGACAUAUACUUUGGGGCGGGGGGGGCGGGAAACGCACAACACCCACACACAAGACACCUGCUUGGGCUAUAUCUAAAUAGCGUUUUGUCUGUUGAACACUUAGAAUGUAAACUUUGUCAGUAACUGCACUUCAGGGAUCUUAGUAUCUUAGUAAAGUAUAUAUAGCAAGAUCUUAUUUGCCUUCUUUAAACAGGAAAAGGAGACAUAUAGGUCAUUUAAGGGUCAUUUUUGUCCAGUGCAUUGUUUUGUACUCAGGAUAAACGGAGAAAGGUUUUCAAGUUAUGUCAUGCAGCAGGGGUUAGAGUUCUCCAGAUGACAGAACUGGAGUUUAGAUGAAGCUCUCCCUUUUGGGACUGUAAUGCAGGAUUUAAAUCUAGGUCUUCUUUAAAUUCAAUUGAACUUUGAUUACCAACGGAGCAGAAGUUAUGAACUUGCAGCAAAACAUUUGUGCGUUUCACUCUAGGUAAGCAAGUCUAUUCAUUUUCAUAGCACAUUCGGUUAAUCUAUUAACUAACCUUUAUUUCUGUCAAGCCUUGGGAACAUGGCUUUCAACAUAGCGGUACAUACAACUGGCUUUCACUUAUAACUAGUCUGCUUAAUACUGACCAGAGCAAUAAAGAGAAAGGAUUUCAUUUGUAAAAACGCUCG